GCCGCGGGAAGCAGCGGGAAGCUGCGGACAGCGCUCUCCUUGCCUUGGCUGCGCUGCGCUGGGGCUUCUGCGGGGAAGCUGCAGAGCAGAUUUUCAGCAGCCAGGCUCUGCACCGGCGCUGCCUGCGCAGCAGACCCCUCGCAGCCGCACGCACUUCUCCCCGCAGGGAGGUCCGGGCUCCUGCUCUGCCUGCACCAUCCGCUGCCUCCCCGGGACACCCGCGGCUCUCGGACGGAGCAGCGAGCCCGCCCCUCGCCGGUGCGCGGUCAGACACCGGUUGCUUUUCCCGACCUGCGUUUGUGGAAAGUGAAAACUGAUUGGAGGUAGGUGAUUUGCGGGGAGAGCCGCCGUGUGCGCGCUCUCUUUGCCCAUAUGGAGGAGAUUAUCGCCGGAGUUCAGACUUGCGUUGGAUCGCGGCAUCAAACAGCGCAGACCUGGCAGGAGUGAGGAGAGGGGGUCACUUUCGAUUCCUUCACGACCGGAGAGAGGAGAGAGGAGAGAGGAGAGAGGAGCGGGUUCCUCGCAGUUCCCCGCUCCGUGCCCGGCCAGCCCCGGCUCGGGGCCAAGCCCUGCUCGGGCAGCGCUACCGGCGCUCGCUGCUCUCUGCUCGCUCUCCCCUCCUGGCAGCGGCUAUUCCAGCACCGAUGGCAGUGUCUGGGUGAGAUCUGGCGGCUGUGGAGGAGCGGGGCACACCGAGCAGCACGGCCGGGCCUGACCUUUGCCGGUGUUGGUGCGGCGAGAAGAGCCCGACAAGCGAUGAGAGAGACCUGCAUCACCCCAGGGGAAUGGCCAGUGCAAGGACGCGGGGAAAGGCAGAACCUCUGCCCAGAGAGGAAAGAAAGAAAAAAAAAAUUAUUAGUCUGUAAAAGCAGUCUUAGUUCGGAACUAAUCUAUGGAAAAAGUUGUUGGAUGGAAGGAAGAUAACGGAGCGGCAACCCCAUGGAAUCACACACAGAGUUUA